GACCGGACUCCGCUGGACACUGCCUCUCAGUUUUCCUCGGUCACGUCCACUGCGCAGACUGCCGCCGUGCCCCGUAGGGUGCCGAGACCGAGAGCGGGCGUGAGAACGCGGAGCCGAGAGAGAGACAGACAGAAUGGCACCCCAACAGGGUCCUCCAGAAUCUGCCCUCAGCCUCGGUCAGCCCAGAUCGCCGGCCCAUGUGAGCUCAGAGCGUCCACAGAGGCCCCAGACAUGAGCGCGGGACCUCCACGUGGGCUCUGCACUGCAGGAUGUCAUGGACUGUGCACCCGUCGGCCCACAGUGUGACCAGCACAGCAAUGGCUCCCAGAGUCAUCAGAUUCGACCCAGCUCAAAGACCACCAGACUCAGACACUGCAGAGACUGACGAGGUUCCGCCCACGAACACUUUGGGCACCAACCCACCUGCUACCCUGCCUGAGGAUCACCACUCACCCCACUCUGCCCCUUGGCAGACUUGGAGAUGGACGCGCCUCCCCUGCUGCAGGUCAGAGUCUGCAGGACAUUUGAACACUGCCCUCCUUCCCUCCGAAGUCACUUACAUCGUGAGGCGUAGAUAAGUGAUUCUUUCCACGAACUGCUUUGUACCAUUUCCCUAGGCCGAUCAUUUUAAACACAGGCUGGCAACAUGAGCUGUGAAAGCAUGUGGCCCUCUGAAUUGCCCUCCAACACACAGAUUCUCUUUGGGAAAUGUGGGUUCACGUCAGGGCCCUCAGCUCCUGCCACGUCUGAAUCAACGUUCAGCAGAAGCUCGCUCACUGGUAGAGAGGGUCUGUCUGGCAAGUUGCUCGUACAUCCUCUGAUAACACUG